rnacentral:rRNA from 1 species
UACGACUACAUAUCAGGCAUAUCAAUAAGCGGAGGAAAAGAAACUAACAAGGAUUCCCUAGUAACGGCGAGUGAAGCGGGAAGAGCUCAAAUUUGAAAUCUUCAAGGUUCUACCUUGACGAAUUGUAGUUUAAAGAAGUGUUUUCUGUUAGAGGAGUAGGUAAAAGUUCUUUGGAAUAGGACAUCAUAGAGGGUGAGAAUCCCGUAUUUGACUAUUCUUUCUAGCUUUGUGAUACACUUUCAAAGAGUCGGAUUGUUUGGGAAUAGCAGUCCAAAAUGGGUGGUAAAUUUCAUCUAAAGCUAAAUAUUGGCGAGAGACCGAUAGCGAACAAGUACCGUGAGGGAAAGAUGAAAAGAACUUUGAAAAGAGAGUUAAACAGUACGUGAAAUUGUCAAAAGGGAAGCGUUUGACACCAGUGUUGUUUUCUACGAAAAUCAAUUCAUGAUGGCUUGAUGCUAAGCUUGUAUGACUUUAUCCGCUUGUUGUUUAGUUUUCUUGUCUUUGUGAAUGCACUUUUCGUUUAACAAGUCAACAUCAAUUUCUUUUGCUGUAAAAGGGUAAGAGGAAGGUGGCUUAACGCUUCGGUUGAAGUGUUUAUAGCCUUUUAUCUCUGCAGUCGGAGAGAUUGAGGUCUGCAGCGUAGACUCUUCGGGGUUAGAUACGUCGGUGCUAAGCUAUAGCUUUUCAUAGACAACUUGUUGACUAUGUUUAGUCAUGUGGCUUACCCGCUGGCGCUAUUUUACCUACGCUUAGGAUGUUGACACACGCGCGUGCUCG